rnacentral:rRNA from 1 species
UCGCCUGUUAUCAAAAACAUCUUUUCUUGUUAGUUUUUGAAGUAUGGCCUGCCCACUGACACGGAUGGUUGAAGGGCCGCGGUAUUUUGACCGUGCAAAGGUAGCAUAGUCAUUAGUUCUUUAAUUGUGAUCUGGUAUGAAUGGUUUGACGAGACAUAUGCUGUCUUAGGUUUGUAGAAUUGGUUGUGUUGAAUUUGGUUUUUGAGUUAAAAUUCUUAAAUGUUUUUGUGGGACGAGAAGACCCUAUAGAGUUUAACAUUUGAUGUAUAGUUUUGUUUUGUUUGUUUUGGGUUGUUAUGUACGUUUCUUGUUUUGUUGGGGUGAUGGGAGGAAUUUUCGUAACUCCUCUUUGUUGUUGGGAUAUUUAUUUAUAUUUGUUUGAUCCAUGUUGAUAUAAGAU